CCUUCAGUUAUUAAUUGAAUCAGUUCUGAUCUUUUGUUUUUCUAUUAAUUUGCAUCUUGAGUUUCAUAAUCUUCCUCCUGGAUACAAUGUAAAUACCAUAAUUGACUUACACGAGUAGGCCUGUUUGUGGGGUUAAAAUUUCUUCAGAUGGGAACAAAUUCAAUACUCGCAUAUUUUUCAUGAUUUGCCCUCUAAAAUAUUAACAUAUUUAGCAAUUUUUGUUACCAAUACCAUGGGUUUUGCGCCAGUUUGGUGUCUGUUCCCGUGAGUUCUAGCAGUCAAUUCAAUGUGGCCACAUUUUCUUGUUGAAUUGUUGGAAUCUAUCCAUUUUUGGUAUAUUUACCUGGCAAAAGACAAUUUUGUGGAUUUGAUCAGCAUCUUUUUUUAUGCUUGAUGACUUGAUUGGAUUCAAAUUGCUGUCAAUACCAUCCACCUCUAAGACAAAAGGUUUAUAUGCAGGAAAUGGGUAUUUACCAUGUUGUGCACAAUAUUCACACCAGACGCUUUCAGAAUUUUAAGCGAAAUUUAGCAGAAGUAUUUCAUGUUAGUUUAUGCAACUUUGGAGAUAAGUAAGAUCAUUUUUAAGGUGCCAUUUUCUGAAGUGAAGUCAAUGAAAUUUUGCCACUCAAUAUCUUCUUUCUAAUCUGCCAUUUAUAAAAGUAUGCCUCUGACAAUUUUCAAUUUCUCCAUUGAAAAUACGAAUCAUGAUGUUAACAAUUGCUUUGACAGGUGAUACUCAUGGGCAUUUUAUAGGAAAUUCACCGAGGAGGGCAAAAAGCGAAUGUAUAGAUCAAGCAAAUCUGAUUUGUAUAUCGAUCUAUAAAGUGCUUGACUAAUAGGUCAUGGUUGCUGUUUGUGAUCUUGAUGACAUUACCCUAACAUAAUCUCUGUCAAUUGUAGCCUACACUCUGUUAAAGAGAAGAUUACAAGUUCAAAUCCCUCAGGUUAAACCCAUGAGAAAAUAUACAAGGGAAAUGAGCAUUACUGUGGUAAACAGAAACAUGAAAUAAAUCUACGCAGGCAGAGGUAGUAUAUCAAGGAUUAGAACACGCAGUUGGUUUCACUUGAGCGAAAUAAUAGAACAUUUUCCUGUAAUGAUGUCAAUGGAGCUUCAUCAAUCUUGUUUAAAUAUGCUUUCUUAUUUGCUCAAUAAAUCUGCUAUGACUUAUUUUCAGUACUUUCUAAAAGUUUAAAACAAAAGCAGACUUACUGCCAACUACUCCACCAGAGGUUGUGAAUCACAAACCAAAGACAAAAUGUUAAAGACUGUUAACUUAUAUUUCACACAUGAAACCAGAAUUAUUGUUGAAAGGAAAGAUAAAAGCUUGGGUAUUGACUUUUCUUGACUACGAGAUAUAAAUCCACCUUAUCAAAUGUUAAAACACUGAAAAUUGCAGUGUGAAGAGGUAAGCCUGAAUUCUGACCUGUGAUAUAUCUUCUCAGCAAGUUGCUCUUAUGUCUACUGUUCAUGGAUGAAACUACCAUCUAUCCUUACGCAAGGGACAUUGGCUAUCUUGAACCACUCACGCCCUUUAUUCUUCUUGCAGUUUUUCUUGAGCAGAGGACAACUAUAGAUAUAUAGUUGCAAAAGCGAGGAUGGCAGGCCUUUUUUGGGAAAAGAUUUGAGCUUAUGGCAAUAUGAGAUACUCAAAUAUUCAAGAGAUGUCAGGUUCUGAAAGCCUCUAGUAGAUAGGUAUCUCAGAUUUGGAAAUUUUAUAAUUGACAAGCUUGUUAAGGAGGCUGGCAGCAUCAUUCUUAACUCAUCCUGUGGGAAGGACACCACGUCAAUACAUCCACCUUCAAUGUAGAGGUCUUUCAAAGAGUUUAGUCUCUGGAGCCCCCAUUCUAACAAUGGUUUACAGAUGUUGAGAUUUGUGAUGGUAAGCGAUGUUAAUUUUGUGGGGAAGCCCUCUUCUGGAAAGGAUACAAUGUUUGGACAAUCAUAUAUCCACAAUUCUUGGAGAGAGGUGAGAUUGUGAAGACGAUCAGGCAGGGCCUCCAGUUCUUCACACCAAGAAAUGCAGAGCUCCCGCAGAUUGGAGGUGGGUAAUUCUCCUGGAAACAAAACGAGACCUGGGCAAUACCAUAUAGAAAUUUCAUGGAGAUGGGUUAGGUUGUGUAUGCCCUCUGGAAAAGAAUUAAGACUUCCACAACUGAAGAUAUAAAUAGUUUCAAGAGACAUCUCAUCUUCAAACCUCUCUCCCACUGACUCCAGCUUUGGGCAGUCCUCAAUGGAAAGGUGCUUAAGCUUUGCUGGCAAUUUGCCUCCUGCAGCUAAAGAAGUGAGCUCUGAACAGUUCUUGAUCUGCAGAUGAAUUAGCGCAGCAGGUAAUUCACCUCUUGGUGAUAAGGACAAGAGUGAUGGGCAAUCAUAAAUAUGCAGAUGUUCAAGAAUGGCUGUAUUGAUGCCCUGUUCACUCAUCAUUGACAAAGAGGAAGAAGAUGAACUCUCUCCAUCACUCAACAAGUACUGCAAAUUCUUGCAACUUCUUAUCUCUAAACUUUUUAGGGUGGAUGGGAGUUGGCUCCUAGCAAAGGACAUCAAAGAAUCACAUCCUUCAAUGUACAAGUUUUCAAGGCAUGUACUAUUGCAAAUCACUGCAGAAGGCAAGGGACCGAGAGCACUGCAAUUUUUAAUCCGAAUCACUCUUAGCAUGGGAGGUAGACCAGCCUCUGGAAAGGAAAUGAGCCUUGGGCAUGAUUCGAUCACUAGCUCUCUAAGAGAAAUAAGGCUAUGCAAGCAUUGAGGCAACAUCACCAGGCUUUCACAAUGCCUUACUUCAAGACACUGAAGUUCACAGCCACACCACUGCAGCUGCUCUUGAUCUUCCUCUGCCACCAAAGAAACUAGCUUGGGACAGCCCUCGAUAACCAAAUUACGAAGGAAAGUGAGCCACUGGCAUAAUCCUAUGUCACUCUGCCACAAUGAUAUUAGCUCUUUACAACCAAAGACCUUCAAAUCCUCCACAUUUUUUAACCCUUGCAUGAAUUCUUCUGUGAGGCAUGUGAGCUCUGAAAUGGUUGAAACCACCAUGGAGUUUGGGGAGCUGAAACUGACCAAACCUCCAUGCACCACCUUUUUGCAUCCUUUGAUUUGUAGUUUGGAAAGCAUUGGAAGGCUUGGAAUUGAAACCACUAACUCCUCACAUUCAAGAAUGACAAGUUUCUCCAAUGACGAAAGAUAAUUUGGUAAUUUUCCUGUUAGUUUGGGACAGCUUUGAAUCCAAAGGUCACGCAAGCAGGGGAACUCUUCAUCUUCAGCUCCAUAAGGAAUCCAAACUUCCCAUUCUCUCAUGGCCUGAAACAAAAGCAUCUGCAGUGAUGGAAACGGGUUUGAGCAAUUCUCCCCAAAAAACUCAGCACCAAUACUUUUUAUACCAGACAUUCCUAUGAUACGCAGCUCUUUAAGAGAGGCAAGGAGCCCAAGUGGCGGCAAGGAUGUGCAGUUCUCACAAUUCUCCAGCCUUAUGAACGCCAGGUAACAGAAUGAAGGAUCUCCUAACCAAAUUGGAAAUUUGGUUCCACCAUAACAUUGAAUGGUCAGCUCUUUCACCUUUGUAUAUGGUUGUAGCAUGUCGAGUACAUCUUUUUCAACUCUUUCAUUUCGUGAAUUAUCAAAUUCAGAACCCCAUUUCAGAAACAACACAUCUAGAUCUUGUUUGUUCUUUAAGUUGGCCUCCCUUGCAUCCCUAGCAUCAACCACAUUUUCCAAUCUUGAAAUGCAAAGUGUUCCACAGAGAAAAGUCAACUCCAUCAACUCUUUUAAACUAGAUCCUUUAUCUUUGCCCACAACAAAGUCAGAUAAGGUCUGCAAAUUGGCAAAUUCUUGAGCAGAAGGCAAUCUCUUAAAAGCAAUGUCUGCAAGCUAUGUAGAGAACUUACUGACUCAGGUAAAUUUCUAAUGUUUGUGUGACAAAGGUUGAGGUACCUUAGAUGCUUUAACUCACCUAUUGAACUGGGCAGCUCAGUGAUGUUAUAUCCACUUAAAGAUAGUAUCCUCAAGCAUCUUAACUUUGGCAACAAAUCAGAAGGAAC
rnacentral:misc_RNA from 1 species